rnacentral:rRNA from 1 species
AAGAUAAAAAGCCAAUGCAUGCUUUUACAGUAUGGAAAUUGGUGAUUUAUAAUAACUUGGCAAAUCGCAAAGUGAAAACAGGCGAUAAAUCAUUCAAGUUUCUGACCUAUCAGCUUUCGACGGUAUGGUAUUGGCUUACCGUGGCAGUGACGGUUAACGGGGGAUUAGGGUUCGAUUCCGGAGAGGGAGCCUGAGAAACGGCUACCACAUCUAAGGAAGGCAGCAGGCGCGCAAAUUACCCAAUUCUAACAGUUUGAGAGAGGUAGUAACAAGAAAUAACAAUACAAGGCAAUUAAAAUGCUUUGUAAUUGGAAUGAUAGAAAUUUAAACCCUUUUUAAAGUAUCAAUUGGAGGGCAAGUCUGGUGCCAGCAGCCGCGGUAAUUCCAGCUCCAAUAGCGUAUAUUAAAAUUGUUGCAGUUAAAAAGCUCGUAGUUGAAGUUCUGCUAAAAGUAACCGGUCUGCUUUUAAUAAAAGUGGUAUCUUGGUGUGUAUUUAGCAAUGAUGUCCUUUGAAGUGUUUUUUACUUUAUUGUAAUAAAGCAUAUUCAGGACUUUUACUUUGAGAAAAUUAGAGUGUUUCUAGCAGGCCGACGCUUUGAAU